rnacentral:rRNA from 1 species
AACGAACGCUGGCGGCAGGCUGAACACAUGCAAGUCGAACGAGAUCUUCGGAUCUAGUGGCAGACGGGUGAGGAACACGUGGGAACAUCCCUUUCAGUUCGGAAUAACGUUGGGAAACUAACGCUAAUACCGGAUACGUCCUUCGGGAGAAAGAUUUAUCGCUGAAAGAUUGGCCCGCGUCUGAUUAGCUAGUUGGUGAGGUAACGGCUCACCAAGGCUACGAUCAGUAGCUGAUCUGAGAGGAUGAUCAGCCACAUUGGGACUGAGACACGGCCCAAACUCCUACGGGAGGCAGCAGUGGGGAAUAUUGGACAAUGGGCGCAAGCCUGAUCCAGCCAUGCCGCGUGGGUGAUGACGGCCUUCGGGUUGUAAAGCUCUUUUGUCCGGGAAGAUAAUGACUGUACCGGAAGAAUAAGCCCCGGCAAACUUCGUGCCAGCAGCCGCCGUAA